rnacentral:rRNA from 1 species
AGAGUUUGAUCAUGGCUCAGAUUGAACGCUGGCGGCAGGCCUAACACAUGCAAGUCGAGCGGUAGCACAGAGAGCUUGCUCUCGGGUGACGAGCGGCGGACGGGUGAGUAAUGUCUGGGAAACUGCCUGAUGGAGGGGGAUAACUACUGGAAACGGUAGCUAAUACCGCAUAANGUCGCAAGACCAAAGUGGGGGACCUUCGGGCCUCAUGCCAUCAGAUGUGCCCAGAUGGGAUUAGCUAGUAGGUGGGGUAACGGCUCACCUAGGCGACGAUCCCUAGCUGGUCUGAGAGGAUGACCAGCCACACUGGAACUGAGACACGGUCCAGACUCCUACGGGAGGCAGCAGUGGGGAAUAUUGCACAAUGGGCGCAAGCCUGAUGCAGCCAUGCCGCGUGUGUGAAGAAGGCCUUCGGGUUGUAAAGCACUUUCAGCGGGGAGGAAGGCGGUGAGGUUAAUAACCUCAUCGAUUGACGUUACCCGCAGAAGAAGCACCGGCUAACUCCGUGCCAGCAGCCGCGGUAAUACGGAGGGUGCAAGCGUUAAUCGGAAUUACUGGGCGUAAAGCGCACGCAGGCGGUCUGUCAAGUCGGAUGUGAAAUCCCCGGGCUCAACCUGGGAACUGCAUUCGAAACUGGCAGGCUAGAGUCUUGUAGAGGGGGGUAGAAUUCCAGGUGUAGCGGUGAAAUGCGUAGAGAUCUGGAGGAAUACCGGUGGCGAAGGCGGCCCCCUGGACAAAGACUGACGCUCAGGUGCGAAAGCGUGGGGAGCAAACAGGAUUAGAUACCCUGGUAGUCCACGCCGUAAACGAUGUCGAUUUGGAGGUUGUGCCCUUGAGGCGUGGCUUCCGGAGCUAACGCGUUAAAUCGACCGCCUGGGGAGUACGGCCGCAAGGUUAAAACUCAAAUGAAUUGACGGGGGCCCGCACAAGCGGUGGAGCAUGUGGUUUAAUUCGAUGCAACGCGAAGAACCUUACCUGGUCUUGACAUCCACAGAACUUUCCAGAGAUGGAUUGGUGCCUUCGGGAACUGUGAGACAGGUGCUGCAUGGCUGUCGUCAGCUCGUGUUGUGAAAUGUUGGGUUAAGUCCCGCAACGAGCGCAACCCUUAUCCUUUGUUGCCAGCGGUCCGGCCGGGAACUCAAAGGAGACUGCCAGUGAUAAACUGGAGGAAGGUGGGGAUGACGUCAAGUCAUCAUGGCCCUUACGACCAGGGCUACACACGUGCUACAAUGGCAUAUACAAAGAGAAGCGACCUCGCGAGAGCAAGCGGACCUCAUAAAGUAUGUCGUAGUCCGGAUUGGAGUCUGCAACUCGACUCCAUGAAGUCGGAAUCGCUAGUAAUCGUAGAUCAGAAUGCUACGGUGAAUACGUUCCCGGGCCUUGUACACACCGCCCGUCACACCAUGGGAGUGGGUUGCAAAAGAAGUAGGUAGCUUAACCUUCGGGAGGGCGCUUACCACUUUGUGAUUCAUGACUGGGGUGAAGUCGUAACAAGGUAACCGUAGGGGAACCUGCGGUUGGAUCACCU